rnacentral:misc_RNA from 1 species
CCAAUAGCGUAUAUUAAAGUUGCUGCAGUUAAAAAGCUCGUAGUUGAAUUUCGGGACUAAUAUGUCGGUCGUGCCUCGGUACGUACUGGUAUUUUUGGUUUCUCCCUUCUGACGAACCUUGAUGUCAUUAAUUUGGUGUCUUGGGAAAUCAGGACUGUUACUUUGAAAAAAUUAGAGUGUUUAAAGCAGGCUCACGCUUGAAUACAUUAGCAUGGAAUAAUGAAAUAGGACGUUUGAUUCUAUUUUGUUGGUUUCUAGGAUUGACGUAAUGAUUAAUAGGGAUAGUUGGGGGCAUUAGUAUUCAAUUGUCAGAGGUGAAAUUCUUGGAUUUAUUGAAGACUAACUACUGCGAAAGCAUUUGCCAAGGAUGUUUUCAUUAAUCAAGAACGAAAGUUAGGGGAUCGAAGACGAUCAGAUACCGUCGUAGUCUUAACCAUAAACUAUGCCGACUAGGGAUCGGAUGAUGUUAAUUUUAUAAUGACUCAUUCGGCGCCUUACA